UAUGGCCAAAUCACAUGGAAACCCUGUUCUCAUACAAUCACCGAAGUUAAGCUGUUAAACCUGGUCAGUACCUAGAUGGGUGACCACUUGGGAAUACUGGGUUCUGUAA